GCGGGGGUCGCCCAGCAUGGUCAACGGCGUGGGACUGAGGCUCCCAUCCCUUAGGGGUUCGUGGGUUCAAAUCCCACCCCCCGCACCA
rnacentral:tRNA from 1 species